GACGAACGCUGGCGGCGUGCCUAAUACAUGCCAGUCGAGCGGAAGUUGAAGAGCUUGCUCUUCAACUUUAGCGGCGGACGGGUGAGUAACACGUGGGCAACCUGCCCUGCAGAUCGGGAUAACUCCGGGAAACCGGUGCUAAGAUCGAAUAGUUUUCGCGACGUCCUGGUGGCGUACGGAAAGACGGUUUCGGUUGUCAAUGCAGGAUGGUCCCGCGGCGCAGUAGCUAGUUGGUGGGGUAACGGCCCGCCAAGGCAACGAUGCGUAGCCGACCUGAGAGGGUGGUCGGCCACACUGGGACUGAGACACGGCCCAGACUCCUACGGGAGGCAGCAGUAGGGAAUCCUCCGCAAUGGACGAAAGUCUGACGGAGCAACGCCGCGUGAGUGACGAAGGUUUUCGGAUCGUAAAACUCUGUUGUGAGGGAAGAACAAGUACCACUUAACUACUGGUACCUUGACGGUACCUCACCAGAAAGCCACGGCUAACUACGUGCCAGCCGCCGCAGUAACAC
rnacentral:rRNA from 1 species